rnacentral:rRNA from 1 species
UAAAGAAUACGAUUAUCUCGCGUCAAAUUAGGUAAUAGGUAUCUGUGACUAAAUAAAUUUACCUAGCCUUAUUUGUAAUUUGUCUUAAACGUAACAAAUCACAAGGGCCAUGAAAGAAAGGCCUUCCAUCUUUGUAUGGCAGCAGUGCGUAAAAUUUGUCAAUACGUGAAAGCGUGAACAUGAUGUUUAUUAAAGCAAAUAUUUAUAUAUAAUUGUUAAAGUUCCGGCCAAUUCCGUGCCAGCAGCCGCGGUAAGACGGAAGGAGCUAGCUUAUUACGUAAGGAAUAGGUUUAAUCGAGUGUAGGUGUAAUAGUCAUAUAAGUGUAGCAUAAUUUAGUGUGUAACAGUUAAAUGUUGAAAAAUACUAAGGAAUGUCAACGGUGGAGACAGCUUAUCUUACAAUUACGCGCCAACGCUAAUUUUAUUAGCGUUGGCUUGCCGGUGUAACCGGGAUAUUAUCUUAUAGAUUUUAUCUAUAGACUUAAAAUUGAAACUCGGAAGUUCAGGUAGCAAACCGGAUUAGAUACCCGACAUAGUCUGAACCGUCAAAAUGAUGAUUAAAUAAAUAAUCAUAUACCUGGUGAUACGUUCUCAAGAAUUGUAAUCAUAGAAAUUGGCAGCCAUAGACAUAUGCUGUGGAUUAUAUAGGUCCAGCUUUUUAUAAAAUUAAAAGGCUUACUUAACUCUAUAUGCUGGAAAAUCCUUUAACCGUAGGCAACCAUAUGCCCUAUUUAAUAGGGCAUUUUGUUUUACAAUACAAUUAGGAUCAUCAGCAGAAAACUAUUAAGUUUUAAAACUUAAUAGGAUUCUCAGAGACUAAACGGGUUACAAUCAUACUAAGAUUGGUACGAUUGAUGAUAUAGUCCGAUUCUUUCCGGCGCAGCCGGCAAGCCUACGACAAUUUAAUUGUCGUAGGCUCGUUAAUAAGGAUUGCAUGCGGUUUAAUAGGAAGCAACGCCUAAAACCUUACCAUUCUUUAAUAUAAUUA